GGAUCGGCAAGGCGCUGAUCAGCAUCUCUCCACUCCUAGCCCCCCUUCUCUUCUCUUUUUUCUCUCCCUCUCCCCUGUUUUGCCCGGGCGGAACUCAUGGCGGGUUCACGCCCUCGGUCCACGCCUUCCGGGAUCGUGCACACCUGGGCCUCAUCAGACCAGCUGGUAUAUUAGAAGGAGGAGAUCAGCUGUUCAACGCUGGAUUGUUGUGAAGGCUGUUGUCAGUACACACCUAGCUCAAGUUUCCUGUGCCUCUGUCUCAGAGACUUAACGUGUUCCUUUGUUCCUUGAUUCCCCGGACCCGUCCCCGUGUUUCCCCGUGUGGAGUGUGGAAGGAGUGGCAGGUCGCUAGCGGAGUGGAGAGAGGCUGUUCUGAGCGCGUGUGUGAUUUCCCCGUUUUCCCUGGAGCCCUGGACCCCUGCCCCUCACGUCUUGUAUAUAGCACUAACCUCGCACUGUCUGUACAUACACUUGGUGAAGAUCUGUGAUAAACAAUCUCUGUUUGAACGCUACCCAGGAGUCCUGCGAGUGGAUCCUCUAAGCAACCCGUGACAACAUUUGAAAUUUCUGGUUCAAAUCUCUGUCAAUAUGCAUCUCAAGAGGAGGUCAAGAGUGGGGUAUAAUAGUGAUCUUGUCAAAACUGAUGGAGAGCAUCUGAUUGUCAGUGGGUUCAUUUUUCAUCCCAAACAUAGAGGAGACAUAUGGUGUGUAUUAUGGUCUAGACCUGUUUCUCCAGACCCAUCAGCAAUGCUGAGAUCAAACAGAAAGCCGAAGAAGAACUCAUUCUGCUGUGAGAGACCCCGCUCACUGCUCUGGGUCCUGUGCUUGAGCUGUGAGGGAAAGCAGAUCAGUAUGUAGCGAUCUGUGAAAGUCACUUCAUCAGUCAGCGCUGCUCCUGGGGGACACAUUCUGGGCUGUACGUGUAUAGAGUGGAGUGCAGCAUGUGAAAUAGUGGACAUAUGUUAUUGCACUCAAGUGUGGGUGUGAAUAUGUAUGACCGGUGUAAUGUGAAUAUCAGAAAAUAAGAAGAAGGCGUCCGUGUGUGCGUAUCAUGUUAACAUCAGAGGCGGACCCCGCUGCUGCUCCUCUGCUGCCUUGCAUUAAAGUCCAUUCUGGAGGAAACUAUGCAACAUCUGGAAAAGUCAUCACUCACACACGCGCACACACACACACACACAC
ensembl:lncRNA